UUUGAGAAAAUGAAAAAUUUUAUUCAUUUUUGCACCAAGUUUUGCCAAUAACUCGGUCGGUAUCCAACGGAUCGCCAAACUUUAACCUGUGGUCGAUAGAUGGCACCAAUGGCUACAUUUUCUUCUUGGACAGCCAUGCCCUCAGAUGUCUGUGCCAGAAGUUAUUCGAGGAACCAGGUUCCAUACCCUGUUUGAGAAAAUGUAAAAUUUUCCUCAUUUUUGAGCAAUGUAGCAAAAAUUUUAAGUGUGAUAUAUUUUGAUGGGAAUUUGUUGCAAUAAGUUUCUUUUCACUUAAAUAGUGCUUUAAAUUAAAAAAAGAAUAAAAAAUCAGAAAAAAAUUUCAAAAAAAUUUCCCACUCGAAAUUUUCAUAAGGCUUACCCCUUACGAUUUUUUUGGGAAAUUUUGCAAAAAAAAUUAAAUUGUUUUAUUUUAAUGCCAAUGGGUUGCAAUGAGUUUCUUUUCACUCUAAUAAUGCUUGAAAUAAAAAAAAGAGUGAAAAAUAAUAAAAACAAUCAAAAAAUUCAAAAAAAAAAUGAAAAUUUUCUUCAUUUUUGCACCAAAUUUUGCCUAUAACUCGGUCGGUAUCCAACGGACCGAAAAUCUUUAACCUGUGGUCGAUAGAUGGCACCAAUGGCUACAUUUUCUUCUUGGACAGCCAUGCCCUCAGAUGUCUGUGCCAGAAGUUAUUCGAGGAACCAAGUUCCAUACCCUGUUUGAGAAAAUGAAAAUUUUCUUCAUUUUUGCACCAAAUUUUGCCUAUAACUCGGUCGGUAUCCAACGGAUCGCCAAACUUUAACCUGUGGUCGAUAGAUGGCACCAAUGGCUACAUUUUCUUCUUGGACAGCCAUGCCCUUAGAUGUCUGUGCCAGAAGUUAUUCGAGGAACCAAGUUCCUUACCCUGUUUGAGAAAAUGUAAAAUUUUCCUCAUUUUUGAGCAAUGUAGCAAAAAUUUUAAAUGUGAUAUAUUUUGAUGGGAAUUUGUUGCAAUAAGUUCCUUUUUACUUAAAUAGUGCUUUAAAUUAAAAAAAGAAUAAAAAAUCAGAAAAAAAUUUCAAAAAAAUUUUCCACUCGAAAUUUUCAUAAGGCUUACCCCUUACGAUUUUUUUGGGAAAUUUUGCAAAAAAAUUAAAUUGUUUUAUUUUAAUGCCAAUGGGUUGCAAUGAGUUUCUUUUCACUCUAAUAAUGCUUGAAAUAAAAAAAAGAGUGAAAAAUAAUAAAAAAAUCAAAAAAUUAAAAAAAAAAAUGAAAAUUUUCCUCAUUUUUGCACCAAAUUUUGCCUAUAACUCGGUCGGUAUCCAACGGAUCGCCAAUCUUUAACCUGUGGUCGAUAGAUGGCACCAAUGGCUACAUUUUCUUCUUGGACAGCCAUGCCCUCAGAUGUCUGUGCCAGAAGUUAUUCGAGGAACCAAGUUCCAUACCCUGUUUGAGAAAAUGUAAAAUUUUCUUCAUUUUUGCACCAAAUUUUGCCUAUAACUCGGUCGGUAUCCAACCGAUCGCCAAACUUUAACCUGUGGUCGAUAGAUGGCACCAAUGGCUACAUUUUCUUCUUGGACAGCCAUGCCCUUAGAUGUCUGUGCCAGAAGUUAUUCGAGGAACCAAGUUCCAUACCCUGUUUGAGAAAAUGAAAAAUUUUCCUCAUUUUUGCACCAAGUUUUGCCUAUAACUCGGUCGGUAUCCAACGAAAUCUUUAACCUGUGGUCGAUAGAUGGCAUUGGCAUUGAAAUUAUCAUUUUAUUUCAAACAAGAAACAACGGUUAUGACACAAAGAUAAUGUACUGAGAGCUUUUCUAUUUUAUUUAAAUUAUUAUUUUCGAAACAGAACAUACAAGCUAAGCUUUAUUUUAAACAUUAAUACUAUUCCUUCGGCCGACUCGU